GCACAGUGGCGUAGUGGACAGCACUGCUGCUUCUCAGGAAAUAGGUUGCUGGAUCGAGACCAGCCGGUGGCC